UGCAGUCUGUGAUGCAAAUAAUUCAAUUUAUUGAACCACUGUGAUUAUUACAAAUAAGAUCUCCAUCUUCCGGCUAAGAGUUUUA